rnacentral:rRNA from 1 species
AUUGAACGCUGGCGGCAUGCCUUACACAUGCAAGUCGAACGGUAACAGGUCUUCGGAUGCUGACGAGUGGCGAACGGGUGAGUAAUGCAUCGGAACGUGCCCAGUAGUGGGGGAUAGCCCGGCGAAAGCCGGAUUAAUACCGCAUACGACCUGAGGGUGAAAGGGGGGGAUCGCAAGACCCCUUGCUAUUGGAGCGGCCGAUGUCAGAUUAGCUAGUUGGUGGGGUAAAGGCCUACCAAGGCAACGAUCUGUAGUCGGUCUGAGAGGACGACCAGCCACACUGGGACUGAGACACGGCCCAGACUCCUACGGGAGGCAGCAGUGGGGAAUUUUGGACAAUGGGCGCAAGCCUGAUCCAGCAAUGCCGCGUGCAGGAAGAAGGCCUUCGGGUUGUAAACUGCUUUUGUCAGGGAAGAAAUCUUCUGGGUUAAUACCUCGGGAGGAUGACGGUACCUGAAGAAUAAGCACCGGCUAACUACGUGCCAGCCGCCGCUGUAA